rnacentral:rRNA from 1 species
GAUGAACGCUAGCGAUAGGCUUAACACAUGCAAGUCGAGGGGCAGCGAGGGUAGCAAUACCUGUCGGCGACCGGCGCACGGGUGAGUAACGCGUAUGUAACCUGCCCGCAACAGGGGGAUAACCCGGCGAAAGUCGGACUAAUACCGCAUAAAACAGGGGUCCCGCAUGGGAAUAUUUGUUAAAGAUUUAUCGGUUGCGGAUGGGCAUGCGUACCAUUAGGUAGUUGGUGAGGUAACGGCUCACCAAGCCUUCGAUGGUUAGGGGUUCUGAGAGGAAGGUCCCCCACACUGGUACUGAGACACGGACCAGACUCCUACGGGAGGUAGCAGUGAGGAAUAUUGGUCAAUGGGCGAGAGCCUGAACCAGCCAAGUCGCGUGAAGGAUGACUGCCCUAUGGGUUGUAAACUUCUUUUACAAGGGAAUAAAAUGAGAUACGUGUAUUUUAUUGCAUGUACCUUGGGAAUAAGCAUCGGCUAACUCCGUG